CAAACCUUUGACCUAACUUUCCCGUCUAAGCAUUAAAACUCCUAGGAAUUAGGACACAACUCUUCCUGACCCAAAUAUGAGUGGUUUGGUUUCUGACAGUGGACAGAAGUUUAACAGGAAGAGGACGAGCAAAAACAGAAGGCAGGGCCAGCCCCCCUCUGACAUCUAGCCCGGCAUUCCAUCCUCCAGCUGAACAUCUUGAGCUGGACUGUCUCCAUUUGGACAAGGAAAACUGCCUCUCUUCACUCGCACAUGGAAAGGAGGGCUCAGUCAGUGUUAGCUGAGGACCAGAGAAGCAUGUACUUCCAGCAUCAACACGGUGGUAACCGGUUUGCGAGAACUAUCGGUUCUGAUAGCUCAGGAGGACAGCCAAAUACAGGGUGUGUCAUCAAGAAGUGGAAUAUGUAUUUGUGAAUCUCAGAGAGAGCUCUGAAGUGGACCGUGAGAUCUGAGCAUCAUCAGCUUGUGAGCAGGAGGCAAGACCAUGAAUGCUGACAGAGUCAUUGAAGAAGAACAAGCAGCUGGCCGGGCAUGCAGUGAGCUCAUGUGGACAUUUUCC
rnacentral:lncRNA from 1 species